UAAACUCUAAUUUCUGAUGUUCAUUCAUACACAAAAAAAAAAAAAUCUAAAGAACAAAAAAAAUUCUGAAGUAUUGUUUAGUGUUCUUCAUCUUCCCUGGAUUUUCUUACAUCUCUCUCAAAGAACGUCUGUCUCUCAAUUCUGAAACUCUCUCUUCUCUCUCACACUAGCCCACCACAGUCUCUUUCAGUCUCACUCGAAUCUCGUCUCAGUCACGCUCGCCGGCGUCUCCACGUGUCGCGGCCUUCCCUGGGAUCCUCGUCGCCGGCCACAGAAGCAACUCGUCGGGUCGCCGUCGCUCGUCGUCUUCUGGUUUCGGGACCUCGCCGUCGCCGAGUCGUCGUAGACCGUAGUCCGUUGAAAUCCCAGUCAUUCGGAUCUUUGUUUUUCUUGUUCAAUGUUCAUCUCAGGUGCAAGAUUUACACCUUAUUAUUCCUGACUAUUUCUUUUGAGUGGAGCAGUGAUACACGCCCGCUUUCUUAUCAGCAGGUUUGGGUAAAGUGGGGAGAGAGAUGCCAGUUCAUUGCCCAGAACAAGCUAGGAAUGUCACAAUACACAUAUUUCAUAACAAUUUGAUCACCGGUGAAAACUCAUAUAGCAAACUCUCUCUUGUUGAUUUGAGGAGCUGUUUGAUUUAGCCAAUUCAGAUUCAACUGCCACUUCUCAGUACCAAUUUAACAUUACCGUUUGUUAGCUCUAUAAUGAACAGGCUAGAGAUCUUGUCUUGAUUUUGCAAUGACUCCUUCUCAUUGAAGUGCAAGAUUUACACCUUAUUAUUCCUGGCUAUUUCUUUUGAGUGGAGCAGUGAUACACUCCCGCUUUCUUAUCAGCAGGAUCUGCCACAGACUUUUCCUGGCCAUCCAUGGUUGGACACUCUCGAGGGACAUGCUGCUCUUAGACGUGUUCUUGUUGUUUAUUCUUUAUGCGAUUCUAAUGUUGGAUAUUGUCAGGUGGAUUUGAUCUGCUCUUCCUUCUUAUUCUGAAUUAUUUUCCCCUCUUAAGUUCUUGUUGGAUGAUCUAGCCUCCUUGUUUUCAGGAUGCUUGUAUUGUAGAUCAGAAUUGUAAAAUUUAAUACCUUAAUAACUUAACUGUUACUGUUAUAAUGUGAAUAAAUGUCAAUUUAGGACAUUGUGCUAUUUCAUUGCCCUA